rnacentral:rRNA from 1 species
GACGAACGCUGGCGGCGUGCUUAACACAUGCAAGUCGAACGGUAAGGCCCUUCGGGGUACACGAGUGGCGAACGGGUGAGUAACACGUGGGUGAUCUGCCCUGCACUUCGGGAUAAGCCUGGGAAACUGGGUCUAAUACCGGAUAGGACCACUGCCUGCAUGGGUGGUGGUGGAAAGCUUUUGCGGUGUGGGAUGGGCCCGCGGCCUAUCAGCUUGGUGGUGGGGUGAUGGCCUACCAAGGCGACGACGGGUAGCCGGCCUGAGAGGGUGAGCGGCCACACUGGGACUGAGAUACGGCCCAGACUCCUACGGGAGGCAGCAGUGGGGAAUAUUGCACAAUGGGCGCAAGCCUGAUGCAUCGACGCCGCGUGAGGGAUGACGGCCUUCGGGUUGUAAACCUCUUUCAGCACCGACGAAGCGCAAGUGACGGUAGGUGCAGAAGAAGGACCGGCCAACUACGUGCCAGCAGCCGCCGCUGUAA